rnacentral:lncRNA from 1 species
GUGGGCAUCUCCUGAUAAUGCCAAUCUCCCUUUCUGCUUCUAGGUGACUGAGGUAACCAGUACGAUGCCAUGUAAGCCAGAGAAGUGUUGCACUGAUAAUCUCUGCCACACUUGCUGUCCAGCUGUAAUUAGCCCUUUGAGACGAGACCAUUCAACAGGGAAAGGACAGUCUUCUCAACAAAUUACUCUGAGAAAACUGGAUACCCACAUAUAAAAGAGUGAAAUUGGAACCUUACCUUACGAGGUGCAAAAAAGUAUUUUGAGAUGGGUGAAGGACCUCAAUGGAAGAGCUAAACCAGGAAACUCUUAAAACUUGGGAAAACAUAGAUGAUAAUGUGUAAUGUAUUAACUGGUGAUUUCUUACUUUUUUUUUUUGUGAUUCUGUAUUACUUGUACCCUUACACUGUUUUGUUUUGUUUUUUCCCUUUUAAAUAAAAUUUUAAAAAAACCUUGGGAAAACAUCUUCAUGACACUGGUUUUAGCACUAACUUGUGAUAUCGCAGUAAAAGUACAGAACAGGAAGGAAAAACAGGCAAAGGAAAUUACAGUCAUUUCAACAGCUUCUGGGCUCUGACACUUGCACUACAGUAAGGAGCAGCAUGGAGGAAAUUUUUCAAUGUAUUAAUCUGAUAAAGAAUCCAUAUCCAGAUGUGUAAAGCAAAACAAAACAAAAGAAAACAACUCUCAGUACUCAACAACAAGAACAAAAAACAAAUAUAAAACAAAAAGCCAAUGUUAAAAGUGUGGACAGGCCUUUUAUUUACUUUUCCCCCAAAAUACCAC